UUAUUAUAAUAACAAAUAUAUAAUAUACAUACAUAUAAACUAAUAUAAAUUUUGAAUUUUUUUAACAGUUUGGGGGUAAGCGGCAAUACGAUCCAAAAACUGAAUUGUUACCAAUACAGCGACAGUGGAUAGAACAGUUGAUGGCGAUGAUUCACGAUGAUGAUUGAGGCUGAAAGCCCCAAGAAUUUUUCUUCCCUAUCACUACUACAAAUUACACUAUUUACGUCGGUCAACGACACUGUUCAUUUCAUUGACCGAUGUAAAUAGUCAGCCAUGUAUUUAUGCAACUGUUUUAAACUGACGCUAAAAAAGUAUUACUUGUGUCUGUUACUAAUUAGACAGUAAUGAAAAAACCGACGGGAAAAGUAAAAUAUUAAAAAUUUUAAUUGGUUUGUUGCGUCGGUUUAGAAAGGUUGAAUAUGACUAUAUAGUCAGUUAUAAAAACUCACAAAAAUAGUUUCAAGUUCUUUAAACGGACGCUGACAGUAAUGAAAAAACCGACGGGAAAAGUAAAACAUUAAAAAUUUUAAUUGGUUUGUUGCGUCGGUUUAGAAAGGUUGAAUAUGACUAUAUAGUCAGUUAUAAAAACUCACAAAAAUGGUUUCAAGUUCUUUAAACAGACGCUGAAUCCCUAUUUCCUCUAAACCCAAAUCGAGAAAUAAGCAGACUAUUCAUUCUCUUCUCCAAAUCAGAAAUUAGGGUAUAGCUCUGGCAAUAUUCGACCCCCAUCGCUCCCCUAUCACCCACGAUUCCUUCUCUCUGUGUUCCUCUCACCUACAGUCCAUCUCUCUCAGUGGUCAGCACGACACAACUCCUCUCUCUCUCCAUAGUCGGCACCACGAAGGUUCAACAUCUUCUCUCCUCUUCCUAAACCUUUAAAAUAUAGAAGACCAACUUUAAGGAUUCCUUCUCCAUCGUUGAAGAAAUAAACGAUAAGAAGUACCAUGGUUAGGGUGGGUAGAAUUGGCUGUGAGGUUCUUAAGACUCUUGCUUUCUCUGGCUUCCAAGGCAUUCAUAUUGGAUGGGUUGGCGUAAUAUGCUGAUAAUGAUAUUGAGACUCAAAUUUUAUAACCUUUGAAGCAGCAGAAUUGUAAAUAUAUUUCUGAAGUUUGUUUUACAAAUAUAUUAAUGUCUUUAGCACAUACUAUUUCUUUUUUGUUGGUGCUUGUCCUAUUGUAAAUAUUUGAUCCUCUCAUUGGUUGUAUUCACUUGGGCUUACUUCUUAUUAUGUCUUAUAUUUCUGAUGUUGUUUCAAGUAAACGUUCGGGUAUUUCAUAUUUUUUUAUUAUUGAAUAUAUUUUUUCUUUGUUCAAUAAAUAAAUAGUUUGUUUCUUUCCCUUAAUUAAUUUAAUAGUUGGUUGUAUCAAGAUUGUAGUAAGCUGAGUUAAUUUCAUUUUAUUUCAAUUUGAUUAGUUCAGGGGACUUUGCUUUAUUUUAAAGAUUUAAAAUCUUAUAUUUGUUUCUAAAAGGAAAAAUGAGAUAUAAAUAGAGAUUUUUGUUUCUCUAUUCUUUAACUUGAGAGAGAUUUUUAUUAAUAUGCAAUGUAUGCUUUCCUAAAGAUUUUCAACUUUUUUUUUUCUUUUUAAUUGAGUCAUAGGUAUUAAUAUGCUUACAGUUUACAUGGAUAGGUGAAUGAAUAGGGCUCUGUUAUUUCAAUUUUUAUUCCAUCAAAGAAGAUAAAAAUAAACUUGUACAACUUGAGCUAUUUUCUUUACUUUGUUGUUGCUCAUUUUAUUUAUUUAUUUAUUAUUUUUUUGGUAGAGCUUUGUUUUAGACUGUUUUUAAUUUUAAAAUACAAUAUUUUACUAUGUUUUUGAAAGUGAGGUACGCUUCAAGUCAAUAUGACAAGACCAUCCUUAAUUUUGGUAUAACACGCCUUACAUAACCAGGCUUUCAUAGUUUGUAAGAGAUAAUGUUUUCUUUUGUUUUGAUAUAUUAUGAUUAUCAUUAUUUGUAAACAUAAUAUAUAUAUAUAUAUCAACGCCAUUCAUUCAAAUAUAGAAUUUUUUUCACAUAUUUUCACUUGGUUACUAUGGAUUCUCCAACAAUAUUAAAAGUUCUUUACUUAUUUUAGUCCAUUUAAAGUUUUGGCCACUUUAAACUUUCAAUUUUGUAAUUCAGUGCUGGCUGAACUUGUAAUAAGUAGGAAAAUACAUCAUCAACAUUGCUUAAUUUAAAACAUUCUUUAUUAAAAUUUUAUGUAUCUACCAAAGAUAGCAUAUAGUCAUGAAUUAAUCAGUAAGUCUUGUGAAGUCAUAAGAAUAUCAAUAAUAAUGUUUUAUGAUAAAUUGACAUUUUUCUGGAAUUGACAAAUUCACUAAAAAAAAGAGUAUAGAAACUUUUAAAUAUGGCCAACCUUUCGUUAGAAAUCCUCUUGAAAGUUGAAACUGUUUUUUCCUUCUGUAUUAGUUAUGUUUUGGAUGUACUAAUAAGUCAAAUUGGCUCUUCCAGUCAAAAAAGAAAAAAAAAAAGUUAAACUGAUUGGUUCUGCUAUUUAUUCAUUUAUUUAGCAGGUUGUGACAUAAAACUGCAAAUACUUAUCAGUUGCUUUAGUGUGUUUUGGACUUUGUAUAUUAUAUUCUUCAUGUACUAAAGUAUUUUCUACAGUAUUG